rnacentral:lncRNA from 1 species
CUUAACCCAAAUCAAAUACAAAAAGUUCAAGCCAACUCAACCUGAAUCCAACCUAAGCAAUAGUCCAAUCCAUUUCGAACUAUAAAUAAAAUUCAAAGUUCACAAAUAAAAUCCAAAACCCAAAGUCUACAAAUAAAACCCAAAACUCAAAGUAUACAAAUAAAACACAAAAACCCAAAGUCCACAAAUAAAAUCCAAAAUCCAAAGUUCACAAAUAAAACCCCAAAACCCAAAGUCCACAAAUAAAAUCCAAAACCCAAAGUCCACAAAUAAAUUCAACAGGCCGUAAAGUUGUUAAACUAAAUCCAAAUUUAAAUGACCGUAAAGUCGUUAAACUAAUAAACUCAACUCAAGCCGACCGCCAUAUCGUUAAACUUAGCAAUUCAACUUCAGCCGACAGGCAAGUCGUUAAACUGAGCAACUUAACUCAAACCGACCGCUAUGUCACUAAACUGAGCAUCUCAACUUCAAGUCGACCUCUAAGUCGUUAAACUGAGCAACUUAACUCAAACUGAUCGCCAUGUCGCUAAACUGAGCAUCUCAACUUCAAGUCAACCGCCAUGCUCUUAAACUAAGCACCUCAACUUCAAACCGACCGCCAUAUCGUUAAACUAAGCAACUCAACAUCAAAUUGACUGCCAUGUCAUUAAACUAAGCACCAAAACUCAAAUCGACCGUCAUGUCGCUAAACUGAGCACCUCAACUUCAAGCCGACCGUCAUGUAAUUAAACUGAGCACUUCAAAUUCAAUCCGACUGUCAUGUCAUUAAACUGAAUACCUCAAACUCAAUCGACCGCUAUGUUGGUAAACUGAGCACCAAAACUCAAUUUGACCGUCAUGUCGGUAAACUGAGAACGAAAACUCAAUCUGACCAGCAUGUCGGUAAACUGAGCACCAAAACUCAAAUCGACCGCCGUGUUAUUAAACUGAGCACCUUAAACUAAAUCCGACCGCCAUGUCGGUAAACUGAGUACCAAAAUUCAAAUUGACCGCCAUAUUAUUAAAGUGAGAAACUCAAUUUAAAGUCGGCCACCAUGUCAUUAAACUGAGCACCACAACUCAAGCCGACUGCUAUGUCACUAAACUGAGCAUCUCAACUUCAAUCGACCGCCAAGUCGCUAAACUGAGCAAACCAUUUCAAACUCCUUUUAACCGCCAUAUCGUUAAACUGAGCAAAUUAAAUUUAAAUUUAAUCUCAAACGACCACCAUGUCACUAGACCGAGCAAUCUAAUUCCAAUCGACCAUGAAGUUUAUAAACUGAGCACUUAGUUUUAUAAAAUCUAUGUACAGUGAGGGAAUGCCCCUGCUUAAGCCAUGUACAUGGCAAAUCAUAUUAUUAAAAUUUUAUUUGCCUGUUUGGUCUCUUUUAUUAUCAGUAUUUGUAUUCGGUCUCUUAAUCGAGGGUUCCUUAACAGUGAAAGUGUGGGGUAAUUAACGACAGAUUUUUGAGUUUGUUGGAAGCCAUGAACCUAUAAUCCUGAUUUAAAAUAAAACUUAAGUAAAUUUAAUCUAUACUAUGAAUGACCACUCGUCUUAGAAAUAUCUACGGCGG